GGUGGAGCUUAGGGGGAGAGCACGUGCUUAGCAUGCACAAGGUCCUGGGUUCAAUCCUCAGAACCACCA
rnacentral:tRNA from 1 species